UAAUGUAGAGUAUUUGACUUCCACACCUAUCUCCCUGAAACUCCAAGCUGAACUUUGGUGAACUGGCCAAGCAGGUGUGUGUUUUGUCUCUCAUUGCUCCAUAUGUGUCCUUUGUGUGUCUGGGACUUUGUCAGAGGGGGUCCCCUCUCAGGGACUGGAGGAAUUUUCUUCUGCAAAGGAUAUAUGAGUAACCAAGCUUCCUUGAAGGUGCCUCCAAACAUGUUCUCAGGGGCCAUUUGUGAGAGAACAUGGAGAGAGAAGACAAUGGCCUUUGAUAUUCAUAGAGUGAUACAGAGAGUGUGUGAAAUAACUCU
rnacentral:snRNA from 1 species